AGCCUGAACUUUCUCAUCCAACACCUGUUCAAGUCGGAGGAUGCUGAUUAAUUCAUGAUGGAAAGGUAUCAAUUUCACAGCCCAGACCUCUACAUUCUUGAAAUGCUCUUCUCAUGGGAGACAUUAAAUAAGCUUUGAAUUAACUCUCUUCUUGGACUAAAAGGCCCUCAGCAUUCCUGUCAAUUUCUACACUCCUGAAGCUUCAUCUGGAGACCUCUGUGGAUUCUAUAACUCAAAGACCCAGGCUGACGGCUGGUGGAAUAGCUACCAUCUCAAACAUGGCGUGAUGCUGCAUCAGAGAGAAAAAUAAGCUCUUGCAUUGACAAUGAAAUGUCUACCCUGUAGUGACUUGUGCUUACUUCCACUCACAAGUGAUUGCCCAGAGCUACUUACCUGGCUCCAAUCUACCACUGGGUGUGUACUUGCAAUCUACCAUGUACCUAGAAGAUGAGAGAAACAAAUUAUUAAUGAUGACCACACCCCAAGACUAACAACAAGUUGCAGAAGAAUCAAUGACUUAAACAAAAAUGUGGCCAUUGAAGGAAUAGAAAAUAUAGUGAGUUUAGUGUAAAUUUAAAAGUGAUUUAUAAGUAACAUACAAAAUCCAGAAACUAUAAGAAAACAGAUUCACAAAUACAAAUAUAUAAAGCUUUAAAAAAGUUUAAUGUAACAAAAAUGGCAUAAAAGGAGUCAAAAGUUUUUAAAAAAUAUGUUAAUGCAGUAGAUUAGGUGCUAAUUUUCUUAAUAUACUCAUAACUCAAUAAGAGAAAUUUUGU
rnacentral:antisense_RNA from 1 species